UAAGGAAUAUUGCUCAAUGGGAGAAAUCCUGAAGCAGCAACGCCGCGUGGAGGAUGAAGGGUCUAUGACUUGUAAACUCCUGUAAAGAAGGAAAAAAUUCCCAUUUGAUGGGAGAUGAUGGUACUUCUGGAGUAAGCCCCGGCUAACUACGUGCCAGCAGCCGCGGUAAUACGUAGGGGGCAAGCGUUGUCCGGAUUUACUGGGUGUAAAGGGUGCUCAGGCGGAUUUGUAAGUCAGAGGUGAAAUCUUACAGCUUAACUGUGAAACUGCCUUUGAUACUGCAAGCCUAGAGUAUGGAAGAGAGUGAUGGAAUAUCUGGUGUAGCAGUGAAAUGCGUAGACAUCAGAUAGAACACCAAUGGCGAAGGCAGUCACUUGGUCCAUUACUGACGCUAAAGCACGAAAGCGUGGGUAGCAAACA
rnacentral:rRNA from 1 species